UACGAGUGCCCCGAGCGUUAUCCGGAAUUAUUGGGCGUAAAGGGUGUGUAGGAGGUGGUGUUAGUCUUUUGUUAAAGCUCCCGGCUCAACCGGGAAAGUGCAAGAGAUACGGCACCGCUAGAGGAUGCGAGAGGUAUGCGGAACUCAUAGUGUAGGGGUGAAAUCCGUUGAUAUUAUGGGGAACACCAAAAGCGAAGGCAGCAUACUGGCGCACUCCUGACUCUGAAACACGAAAGCGUGGGUAGCGAAUGGG
rnacentral:rRNA from 1 species